UAGUCCACGCCGUAAACGAUGAUUACUCGCUGUAGGCGAUACACAGUCUGUGGCUAAGCGAAAGUUUUAAGUAAUCCACCUGGGGAGUACGAUCGCAAGAUUGAAACUCAAAGGAAUUGACGGGGGCCCGCACAAGCGGAGGAACAUGUGAUUUAAUUCGAUGAUACGCGAGGAACCUUACCUGGACUUAAAUGUAGAUUGCAUAGAGUGGAGACAUUCUUUUCUUCGGACUAUUUACAAGGUGCUGCAUGGUUGUCGUCAGCUCGUGCCGUGAGGUGUCGGGUUAAGUCCCAUAACGAGCGCAACCCUUAUCCUUAGUUGCCAGCGGGUCAUGCCGGGGACUCUGAGGAGACUGCCCAGGAUCAACUGGGAGGAAGGUGGGGACGACGGUCAAGUCAGUAUGGCCCUUAUGCCUAGGGCUGCACACGUACUACAAUGCUCAGUACAGUUUGAACCGAGACCGCAAGGUGGAGGAAAUCACCAAAACUGAGCUCAGUUCGGAUUG
rnacentral:rRNA from 1 species